CCUACGCGAGGCAGCAGUGAGGAAUAUUGGUCAAUGGGCGAGAGCCUGAACCAGCCACGUCGCGUGAGGGAGUACUGCCCUAUGGGUUGUAAACCUCUUUUGUCGGGGAGCAAAAGCCGGACGUGUCCGGCUGUGAGAGUACCCGGAGAAAAAGCAUCGGCUAACUCCGUGCCAGCAGCCGCGGUAAUACGGAGGAUGCGAGCGUUAUCCGGAUUUAUUGGGUUUAAAGGGUGCGCAGGCGGAGUUUUAAGUCAGCGGUCAAAUCGUGGGGCUCAACCAUAGAAUUGCCGUUGAAACUGGGAAGCUUGAGUAUGUUUGAGGCAGGCGGAAUGCGUGGUGUAGCGGUGAAAUGCUUAG
rnacentral:rRNA from 1 species